rnacentral:rRNA from 1 species
AAGAGGUCCAGCCUGCCCAGUGACAAAGUUCAACGGCCGCGGUACCCUAACCGUGCGAAGGUAGCAUAAUCACUUGUCCUUUAAAUAGGGACUAGUAUCAACGGCAUCACGAGGGCUAUACUGUCUCCUUUCUCCAAUCAGUGAAACUGAUCUCCCCGUGAAGAAGCGGGGAUUAAACUAUAAGACGAGAAGACCCCAUGGAGCUUUAAACUCAUCAUACACCUUUAUGACCUCACACCAACUGACCAAAAAGACCUGUAUGCUAGUUUUAGGUUGGGGGGACCACGGAGUACAAUUUAACCUCCACAACAAAUGGGCUAAUACCCUUAUCCACGAGAUACACCUCUAAGAAUUACUAAACUAAUGUUUAAUGACCCAAUAAUUUGAUCAAUGAACCAAGUUACCCUGGGGAUAACAGCGCAAUCUACUUCAAGAGCCCCUAUCGACAAGUAGGUUUACGACCUCGAUGUUGGAUCAGGGUAUCCUAGUGGUGCAGCCGCUACUAACGGUUCGUUUGUUCAACGAUUAAAACCCU